GACGAACGCUGGCGGCGUGCUUAACACAUGCAAGUCGAACGGAAAGGCCCUGCUUUUGUGGGGUGCUCGAGUGGCGAACGGGUGAGUAACACGAGAGUAACCUGCCCUUGACUUUGGGAUAACUUCAGGAAACUGGGGCUAAUACCGGAUAGGAGCUCCUGCUGCAUGGUGGGGGUUGGAAAGUUUCGGCGGUUGGGGAUGGACUCGCGGCUUAUCAGCUUGUUGGUGGGGUAGUGGCUUACCAAGGCUUUGACGGGUAGCCGGCCUGAGAGGGUGACCGGCCACCUUGGGACUGAGAUACGGCCCAGCCUCCUACGGGAGGCAGCAGUGGGGAAUAUUGCACAAUGGGCGGAAGCCUGAUGCAGCAACGCCGCGUGCGGGAUGACGGCCUUCGGGUUGUAAACCGCUUUCGCCUGUGACGAAGCGUGAGUGACGGUAAUGGGUAAAGAAGCACCGGCUAACUACGUG
rnacentral:rRNA from 1 species